rnacentral:hammerhead_ribozyme from 1 species
AUCUAGCUGACGAGUUUAGAAUAGGACGAAACGCGUGUCUUGGGU